AUAUGACUGAGUCACUCAGCUUUAUGUAGGUGCCGAGGCUAUAUGACUGAGUCACUCAGCUUUAUGUAGGUGCCGAGGCUAUAUGACUGAGUCACUCAGCUUUAUGUAGGUGCCGAGGCUAUAUGACUGAGUCACUCAGCUUUAUGUAGGUGCCGAGGCUAUAUGACUGAGUCACUCAGCUUUAUGUAGGUGCCGAGGCUAUAUGACUGAGUCACUCAGCUUUAUGUAGGUGCCGAGGCUAUAUGACUGAGUCACUCAGCUUUAUGUAGGUGCUGAGGCUAUAUGACUGAGUCACUCAGCUUUAUGUAGGUGCCGAGGCUAUAUGACUGAGUCACUCAGCUUUAUGUAGGUGCCGAGGCUAUAUGACUGAGUCACUCAGCUUUAUGUAGGUGCCGAGGCUAUAUGACUGAGUCACUCAGCUUUAUGUAGGUGCCGAGGCUAUAUGACUGAGUCACUCAGCUUUAUGUAGGUGCCGAGGCUAUAUGACUGAGUCACUCAGCUUUAUGUAGGUGCCGAGGCUAUAUGACUGAGUCACUCAGCUUUAUGUAGGUGCCGAGGCUAUAUGACUGAGUCACUCAGCUUUAUGUAGGUGCCGAGGCUAUAUGACUGAGUCACUCAGCUUUAUGUAGGUGCCGAGGCUAUAUGACUGAGUCACUCAGCUUUAUGUAGGUGCCGAGGCUAUAUGACUGAGUCACUCAGCUUUAUGUAGGUGCCGAGGCUAUAUGACUGAGUCACUCAGCUUUAUGUAGGUGCCGAGGCUAUAUGACUGAGUCACUCAGCUUUAU